rnacentral:rRNA from 1 species
GGAUGCGAUCAUACCAGCACUAAAGCACCGGAUCCCAUCAGAACUCCGAAGUUAAACAUGCUUGGGCGAGAGUAGUACUAGGAUGGGUGACCUCCUGGGAAGUCCUCGUGUUGCAUCCC